CCUACGGGUGGCUGCAGUGGGGAAUAUUGGACAAUGGGGGGAACCCUGAUCCAGCCAUGCCGCGUGUGUGAAGAAGGCCCUCGGGUUGUAAAGCACUUUCAGUGAGGAAGAACGCCUGGUGGUUAAUACCCAUCAGGAAAGACAUCACUCACAGAAGAAGCACCGGCUAACUCCGUGCCAGCAGCCGCGGUAAUACGGAGGGUGCGAGCGUUAAUCGGAAUUACUGGGCGUAAAGCGCGCGUAGGUGGCUUGAUAAGCCGGUUGUGAAAGCCCCGGGCUCAACCUGGGAACGGCAUCCGGACCUGUCAAGCUAGAGUGCAGGAGAGGAAGGUAGAAUUCCCGGUGUAGCGGUGAAAUGCGUAGAGAUCGGGAGGAAUACCAGUGGCGAAGGCGGCCUUCUGGACUGACACUGACACUGAGGUGCGAAAGCGUGGGUAGCAAACAGGAUAGAUACCCUUGUAGUC
rnacentral:rRNA from 1 species